AUUGAACGCUGGCGGCAGGCCUAACACAUGCAAGUCGAACGGGAACAGGAAGAAGCUUGCUUCUUUGCUGACGAGUGGCGGACGGGUGAGUAAUGUCUGGGAAACUGCCUGAUGGAGGGGGAUAACUACUGGAAACGGUAGCUAAUACCGCAUAACGUCGCAAGACCAAAGAGGGGGACCUUCGGGCCUCUUGCCAUCGGAUGUGCCCAGAUGGGAUUAGCUAGUAGGUGGGGUAACGGCUCACCUAGGCGACGAUCCCAAGCUGGUCUGAGAGGAUGACCAGCCACACGGGAACUGAGACACGGUCCCGACUCCUACGGGGGGCAGCAGUGGGGAAUAUUGCACAAUGGGCGCAUGCCUGAUGCAGCCAUGCCGCGUGUAUGCAGAAGGACUUCGGGUUGUAAAGUACUUUCAGCGGGGAGGAAGGGAGUAAAGUUAAUACCUUAGCUCAUUGACGUUACCCGCAGAAGAAGCACCGGCUAACUCCGUG
rnacentral:rRNA from 1 species